AUUGAACGCUGGCGGCAUGCCUUACACAUGCAAGUCGAACGGUAACAGGUCUUCGGAUGCUGACGAGUGGCGAACGGGUGAGUAAUACAUCGGAACGUGCCCGAGAGUGGGGGAUAACGAGGCGAAAGCUUUGCUAAUACCGCAUACGAUCUCAGGAUGAAAGCAGGGGACCGCAAGGCCUUGCGCUCACGGAGCGGCCGAUGGCAGAUUAGGUAGUUGGUGGGAUAAAAGCUUACCAAGCCGACGAUCUGUAGCUGGUCUGAGAGUACGACCGGCACUACGGGGACUGGGACACGGCCCAGACUCCUACGGGAGGCAGCAGUGGGGAAUUUUGGGCAAUGGGCGCAAGCCUGAUCCAGCCAUGCCGCGUGCAGGAUGAAGGCCUUCGGGUUGUAAACUGCUUUUGUACGGAACGAAAAGACUCUGGUUAAUACCUGGGGUCCAUGACGGUACCGUAAGAAUAAGCACCGGCUAACUACGUGCCAGCAGCCGCCGCGGUAA
rnacentral:rRNA from 1 species